rnacentral:rRNA from 1 species
AACAGGAUUAGAUACCCUGGUAGUCCAUGCCGUAAACGAUGUCUACUAGCCGUUGGGGCCUUUGAGGCUUUAGUGGCGCAGCUAACGCGAUAAGUAGACCGCCUGGGGAGUACGGUCGCAAGACUAAAGCUCAAAUGAAUUGACGGAGGCCCGCACAAGCGGUGGAGCAUGUGGUUUAAUUCGAUGCAACGCGAAGAACCUUACCUGGUCUUGACAUAGUAAGAACUUUCCAGAGAUGGAUUGGUGCCUUCGGGAACUUACAUACAGGUGCUGCGUGACUGUCGUCAGCUCGUGUCGUGAGAUGUUGGGUUAAGUCCCGCAACGAGCGCAACCCUUUUCCUUAUUUGCCAGCACUUCGGGUGGGAACUUUAAGGACACUGCCAGUGACAAACUGGAGGAAGGCGGGGACGACGUCAAGUCAUCAUGGCCCUUACGACCAGGGCUACACACGUGCUACAAUGGUCGGUACAAAGGGUUGCUACCUAGCGAUAGGAUGCUAAUCUCAAAAAGCCGAUCGUAGUCCGGAUUGGAGUCUGCAACUCGACUCCAUGAAGUCGGAAUCGCUAGUAAUCGCGGAUCAGAAUGCCGCGGUGAAUACGUUCCCGGGCCUUGUACACACCGCCCGUCGCACCAUGGGAGUUUGUUGCACCAGAAGUAGGUAGUCUAACCGUAAGGAGGACGCUUACCACGGUGUGGCCGAUGACUGGGGUGAAGUCGUAACAAGGUAACC